rnacentral:rRNA from 1 species
UUGGGCCUACGGGGGGCAGCAGUAGGGAAUCUUCGGCAAUGGGGGCAACCCUGACCGAGCAACGCCGCGUGAGUGAAGAAGGUUUUCGGAUCGUAAAGCUCUGUUGUAAGAGAAGAACGUGUGUGAGAGUGGAAAGUUCACACAGUGACGGUAACUUACCAGAGAGGGACGGCUAACUACGUGCCAGCAGCCGCGGUAAUACGUAGGUCCCGAGCGUUAUCCGGAUUUAUUGGGCGUAAAGCGAGAGCAGGCGGUGGGAUAAGU